AAGAACUGUUUCUUUGAAAUUCAUCUUCUCUUCUCCGUAUGUUCGUUGUGCGAUGAACCAAACCAAACGCGGGCUUGUGAGGCUGAUACUCUUCCGCGAACACAUUUGUCUUCUUUUUUGUUCUUGACUCAAUCUUUCUGAAUUCUGAAUCGCUUAAUACUCAACGAUUCUUCUGGCAUUAUCUCCCUUCUGCAAGAUCUUCAUCUCACUCAGUCUUCUUCCAAAGUUCUCUUAGGUUAGUGGAUCCGCUUCACGAACAUCUGAACGAGUUGGUAAUUUCAAUUUUGCACGGAAACAAUCUCAU
rnacentral:sRNA from 1 species